rnacentral:misc_RNA from 1 species
UCCCUAUCACUAGGGCAGUCUGAUUAGAAAAAUUCAACUAAUCACAAGGGUUGCGCUCGUUAAAGGACUUAACCUAACAUCUCACGACACGAGCUGACGACGGCCAUGCAACACCUGUCACUUGGCUCAAUAAAGCACUCUCGUCUUUCGACAAAAUUCCAAGGAUUUCAAGCCUGGGUAAGGUUCUUCGUUUAUCGUCGAAUUAAAGAACACGCUCCACCGCUUGUGCGGGUCCCCGUCAAUUCCUUUAUGUUUUAGUCUUGCGACCGUACUCCACAGGCGGGAUACUUAACGCGUUAGCUUCGCUACUGAAGGGGUCGAUACCUCCAACAGCUAGUAUCCAUCGUUUACGGCGUGGACUAC